rnacentral:rRNA from 1 species
UACAGAGACCCCAACCGUUACCCGGAUUCAUUGGGCGUAAAGCGUCCGCAGCCGGUGCUGAUAGUGGGAUGUUAAAUCCAGGGGCUCAACCCCUGGGCCGCAUUCCAAACGUCAACACUCGAGGGAUAGAGAGGUACAUGGAACUCAUGGUGGAGCAGUGAAAUGCGUUGAUAUCAUGGGGAACACCAAUGGCGAAGGCAGUGUACUGGUUAUCUCCUGACGGUCAGGGACGACAGCGUGGGGAGCGAACGGG